UGCUAUGUGUUCAAUGGAGGGACCCAGGUGACGAUACUAGGUCUGAAGGUCAGAAGUCUGAAAUGGGUCCCGAAGGCAGAAAUCCAGGUGUCACAGGGCCACCCCUUCUGGGGACUCCAGACUCCUCUGGAUCCCUGUCUGCAUUCCUGGACUUUCGACCCCUCCUUCCCUCCUGUCAAGGCUUCAGUGGCAUCUUCAAGUCUCUGUCCCUUGUUCUCUGACCUCUGCUUCCACUGCCACAUCUCCUCUCUCUCUGAGCCUCCCACCUCCCUCUUCCCUUGGGAAGACCCUACCUGGGGCCACUCACAUAAUUCAGAAUCAUCUCCCCACCUCAAGGUCCUUAAUUCUAUCACAUCUGCAAAAUCCCUGAUACCAGGUAAAGGAACGGGUUCUGGGGGUUAGGACAUGGACACCUUUGGGGGCCUUAUUCAGCUUGUUACAGCAAAUACUUGGCACACAGGAAGAGACAAGGCACACACACUCAAGGAAUCAGAAAAGACUGUUUAUUGUGCACCAGUGCCUGCCCAGCAGAGUCACCUCCAAAGGCUGAGCCCCGAACCUUGGUAUCAGCCUCCUUUUAUGGAUGGGAUGGUAGGGGGUUGAGAGACAAAAGAAAAAGGCGAGGGAGCACUUAUCAGUGGUGCUAUCUGACAGUUGGUGAACACAGGAGACAAACAAGAUUACAGAAGCCAAAAGUAUGCAAGGGGAAUAAUCCAGCCUUGGGCAUCUGGCUGGCCCCUUUUAUCUUGUUUUUAUUAGCUUUUCUUUUCAAGCUGACCACAACACUAUUGCUCAGUUUUCUAGGGGUGUGGGAGCUUUCUUCCAUGUUCCUCUCCCUCCCUGCAUCCUGCCCAGUCUGGGCCACUACUAGGGCCUCCUUGGCCCAGGCUCACCCCGCACCGCACCACCCCGCCCCACCCCACCCGCCUCUUUCAGUCCCUUCUCCUCCUAGGGUCACAGGAAAAGGACUUUGAUUUUAGCUAUGGCUUUGGGGCAUUUCUUCCAGCUGGUCCCCAGCUAAAUGCUCUCUAGGCCUUACUUGUCAGUCAUCAAACUGCCCUUGGAAGAAGAUCCUAUUAUGAUCCUUGUCCUAUGGAUGGAGACACCAGAGCCCAGAGACCCUGAGUGACCUGCCCAGGGUCACAGCAAGAACUGAACCUGGACACCCCAACACCAUCUACUCCAGAUCUCAGCUGACCCCGGGUCCCAGGCCACCCUCAGCACCCUGCCCACCCAGGCCAGGCCCUCCAGAUUUGUCCAGCUUUAUCCCUGGAGAGCUCUGAGUCCCCCUGGACUCACCUCCCUGCCCUAGGACCCACGGCCUAAGAGGACAGAGUUGUAGGGACCAAUGAGGGACUGAGGGGGACAGGGCCUCAGGUUGGAGUAUCUGCAUUCCUCAUGCUUCUUCACCUUCCUCUGGGUCAAAAAUCAGGGUCAGGGCAUGCAGGGGAGGGGCCAAAAGAAGGUCCCCUCCUCCUGGAGACUCAGUCUCAGUCCUGGGAGGUGAAGGUCACAGCAGGGCUCAUCCUUGGCUGCCACACCACCAGGAGACUCAGUCCCUGGCAGCUGGCUUCUCCAGCCUAAUCCCCCGACUCCCUUGUGCUAGCUGCUCCCCCUCAGGAUCCAGGGAUUCUCGGUAACACCUUCAGAGUCAGGGGGGAUGAUCUCCUCAUGGAAAAGCACACAAAACUCUCUGAAUGGGGGUCCAGGGAAAGGGGGUCUAGUGCCAAGCACAGCCACUGCUUCAGGGCUGGCUGUUGAAUGGAGCCAUUGACUCAAGUGGAAUUCUCCAGAUGGCACACACCCUGACAGGUGAGGACAGCAGGCUGCUUUCCCAUUCUGUUCUUGGCUCCCCCCACCUCAGUCCACUUUCACCUCUGCCCUUUCCUGCUGAGAACCUUCCGGCACUCCCAUUUCCUCUAGGAUUACAUCUGCUGCCCUGAGAUGUCACCAAACCUCCAGGGGAAGGUGCAGAAGGGCAUUCAGCAGAGGGGACCUGACUUCUGGAACCUUCAGGCCCCAGGAUGGACAGACACCCUGUGAGGAAGUGAGGCAUGGCAGGGCUGGAGGGUGAUUGGCCUCUGGGACCCAACUCCCAAAAACUCUCCCACCCAAGUCCCCUCAAUGAAAUCUCAGUGACACCCAUUUCCCUGCCAUCACUGUAAAUGCAAGCCACUCCAGUCCCCUUCCCCUGGCUCUGACUGGUCUGGCUGCAGCCAGCAGUCAGGGCGGCCUCAGGGCCCCCACUCCAUCUCUAUCAGAGAGCAGCUUCUCAGGCCCAGCACCAGCUUUCAGGCCUCAACAUCUCAAAUGUGAGGAGCCACCAUCCCUCCCAAGAUGGCCAUGACAGGACCACAGACAUGAUCCCAGGUGGAAGAAGUGACCCAGAAGUAAUGAAAUGCCUGGCCUCAGGGAUGGCCCAUCUGUAACCUGACAAACUCUUGAGGAUUCUAUUUCCCAGUAAGAAAAUAAUGGGGCAUCGGUGUGUGAACCCAUCCUCUAACAGACUGUGUGGGAAACCCCCCGUAAAGCUGGGUCACUGGGCAGUCUGUCAGGGCCUCUGACCUCCCUCGGUUAUUAGGCAUCCCUGGUGACUUCCAAGGCACUCAGUCACUCCAGAGUAGACCAUCUGGUGCCCCAGGAUACCCCUCCAGGCACCCCUUCACCUUUGCACACUCUGACCCUCCAGGAUGGCACAUCCAGGCCAAUCUACCUUCCAGUCACCUUCUCCUGUCCCUCUGGCAGUAAACCCACUCUUUCUCCCACCCCAGAACUCAUCUCAGAUGCCACCUUCUCUCCUGUUGCUACCUACCUCUCACCUGCCCCCUAUAGCAUGACUCUAAGGACUCUGGGGCUCCACGGCCCCUUUACCUUGUCUCAAACUAGCUGGUCUCUCUGUCACCCCACCUCUCCCCUACAUUUGCCAGGGUAUCAUCGAUGGCCCUCAAGUGUCCUAAUCCAACUGUCUCCUCACAGUCUUCCCCUCUGCCGACCUCUAGGUGGACUUGAGAACCGCACACCAUUCUCCCCAUCUUGAACUCCUCAAGCCCCCAAGGUCCCUCUCCUGAGCCUUCUUCUCUAUCCUCUACCCUCCUCCAUCCACUUUGUUCUGGUAUUGCCCCUCAGGGUCACAGGGAGCUAGCCCCAUCAGCCACUCUUUCUAAGUCAUAAACUGGAUCUAAAAAGA